rnacentral:rRNA from 1 species
CACGUAGGCACCAAGCGUUGUCCGGAUUUAUUGGGCGUAAAGAGCGUGUAGGCGGCUAGAUAGGUCCGUUGUGAAAACUCGAGGCUCAACCUCGAGACGUCGAUGGAAACCAUCUGGCUAGAGUCCGGAAGAGGAGAGUGGAAUUCCUGGUGUAGCGGUGAAAUGCGCAGAUAUCAGGAAGAACACCCGUGGCGAAGGCGGCUCUCUGGUACGUGACUGACGCUGAGACGCGAAAGCGUGGGGAGCAAACAGG